UGCAAGUCGAGCGAGAAAGCUCCCUUCGGGGAGUGAGUAAAGCGGCGCACGGGUGAGUAACACGUGAGUAACAUGCCUUCAGGUUGGGGAUAACUACCCGAAAGGGUGGCUAAUACCCGAUAAGACUACAGUGGCUUCGGUCGCAGUGGUCAAAGUUCAGGCGCCUGAAGAUUGGCUCGCGGUUCAUUAGGUAGUUGGCGGGGUAAUGGCCCACCAAGCCAAAGAUGAAUAGCUGGUCUGAGAGGAUGAUCAGCCACACUGGGACUGAGACACGGCCCAGACUCCUACGGGAGGCAGCAGUGGGGAAUCUUGCGCAAUGGACGAAAGUCUGACGCAGCAACGCCGCGUGUGUGAUGAAGGCUCUCGGGUCGUAAAGCACUGUCAGGAGGGAAGAACGCAGACGGUACCUCCAAAGGAAGCGCCGGCUAACUCCGUGCCAGCAGCCGCGGUAAUACGGAGGGCGCAAACGUUGCUCGGAAUCAUUGGGCGUAAAGCGUACGUAGGCGGCUUAUCAAGUCUGGUGUGAAAGCCCGGGGCUCAACCUCGGAAUGCCACUGGAAACUGGUAAGCUUGAGAGUGAGAGGGGUUAGUGGAAUUUCUGGUGUAGGGGUGAAAUCCGUAGAGAUCAGAAGGAACACCGGUGGCGAAGGCGACUGACUGGAUCACAUCUGACGCUGAGGUACGAAAGCGUGGUUAGCAAACAGGAUUAGAUACCCUGGUAGUCCACGCCGUAAACGAUGUUCACUAGCUGCUGGGGGCCUUGGCGCUCGCAGUGGCGAAGCUAACGCAUUAAGUGAACCGCCUGGGGAGUACGGUCGCAAGAUUAAAACUCAAAGGAAUUGACGGGGACCCGCACAAGCGGUGGAGCAUGUGGUUUAAUUCGAAGCCAACGCGAAGAACCUUACCCUGGGUUUGACAUCCCCUCUAAGAUCCGGGUAAUGCCGAUUGUGCC
rnacentral:rRNA from 1 species